GCCAACCCACAAAGCCCAAAUCCACCAAACCACAAUCAGACGUACAAGCUUGGAAGUCUGAGCAAGCUCCUGGGUUGUUGGAUCUAGCCACGCUUCCCCUUCUUUCAUAAUCAUGAAGGAGAGCAUUGAAGUCCCCAAUAGCGCACCAAGGACUACUAAUAUCACUAGCAAAAUCUAUCAGAUCAUUCCAUAACUCUCUUCUGUAAAUUUUCUGUGGGGAGCCAUAAACUGCACCCAGGAACCACCGUUCAGAGUUGUUGUUAGAUACUCCGAGGUGAACAACUUAUCUACUGUGCCUCACAAUAUCCACCCUCCAAACUCCUGAGUCCCACAAGAUCUAAAUCCCACCAGACCUCCCCAAAGCUUCAACAGUGAAGGACCCAUCAAAACCCAACUUAUCUCUAACCUCUUUGGCUCGAUCCCCACUAAUCUGAGUCUCAAGAAGAAUAAUCAUACCAGCAUGAUAUUCACGUUUCAAUUCCUUAAUAAGGAAAGGAAAAUUCUUUCCCCCCGCUCCUCUACAGUUCCAAGCGAUAAUACUAUUCAUAAGGACAAAACAAGAAGGAAGGUUACCAAGAACCACGGUCAAGCUUGGACAUUUUCCCUUUUCUCUGAGUUAGACCUCACAACGGGUGUCGUCGCUUGUGACACUUCAUUAAUAGAAGAAGCCCCGAUACUAAUAUCUGGUGGUCUUCCUCCUCCACCGAUUCUAUCGUGGUCGCUGCGAUCCAUGAUCUUACGUGGCGGCAGUUGAUUAAGGAAAUUAUUAGUAGCAAUAUGUUCUUCCAAGAACUCACCAGAUCUUUUUGGUAU